UGGGGAAUCUUGCACAAUGGGGGCAACCCUGAUGCAGCGACGCCGCGUGAGCGAUGAAGCCCUUCGGGGCGUAAAGCUCUUUCGACCGGAACGAUAAUGACGGUACCGGGAGAAGAAGCUGCGGCUAACUACGUGCCAGCAGCCGCGGUAAUACGUAGGCAGCAAGCGUUGUUCGGAGUUACUGGGCGUAAAGAGUGCGUAGGCGGUUUUCUAAGUUCGGUGUGAAAUCUCCCGGCUUAACGGGGAGGGUGCGCCGAAGACUGGGGAGCUGGAGUGUGGGAAAGGCAGGCGGAAUUCCUGGUGUAGCGGUGAAAUGCAUAGAUAACAGGAGGAACACCGGCGGUGUAGACGGCUUGCUAGACCAUAACUGACGCUGAGGCACGAAAGCGUGGGUAGCAAACA
rnacentral:rRNA from 1 species